rnacentral:rRNA from 1 species
GGCGUGCCUAAUACAUGCAAGUCGAACGCUUCACUUCGGUGAAGAGUGGCGAGGGGGUGAGUAAUACAUAAGUAACCUGGCAUCUACAGGGGGAUAACUGAUGGAAACGUCAGCUAACACCGCAUAGGUGUAGAGAUCGCAUGAACUCUAUAUGAAAAGUGCUACGGGACUGGUAGAUGAUGGACUUAUGGCGCAUUAGCUUGUUGGUUAGGGUACCGCCUACCCAAGGCGACGAUGCGUAGCGGACUUGAAAGGGUGACCCGGCCACACUGGGGACUGAGACACGGCCCAGACUCCUACGGGAGGCAGCAGUAGGAAAUUUUCGGCAAUGGGGGAAACCCUGACCGAGCAACGCCGCGUGAAGGAAGAAGUAAUUCGUUAUGUAAACUUCUGUCAUAGAGGAAGAACGGUGGAUAUAGGGAAUGAUAUCCAAGUGACGGUACUCUAUAAGAAAGCCACGGCUAACUACGUGCCAGCAGCCGCGGUAAUACGUAGGUGGCGAGCGUUAUCCGGAAUUAUUGGGCGUAAAGAGGGAGCAGGCGGCACUAAGGGUCUGUGGUGAAAGAUCGAAGCUUAACUUCGGUAAGCCAUGGAAACCGUAGAGCUAGAGUGUGUGAGAGGAUCGUGGAAUUCCAUGUGUAGCGGUGAAAUGCGUAGAUAUAUGGAGGAACACCAGUGGCGAAGGCGACGAUCUGGCGCAUAACUGACGCUCAGUCCCGAAAGCGUGGGGAGCAAAUAGGAUUAGAUACCCUAGUAGUCCACGCCGUAAACGAUGAGUGCUAAGUGUUGGGGGUCAAAGCUCAAGUGCUGCCAGUUAAGCAAUAAAGUACUCCGCCUGAGUAGUACGUUCGCAAGAUGAAAACUCAAAGGAAUGAACGGGGGCCCGCACAAGCGGUGGAGCAUGUGGUUUAAUUCGAAGCAACGCGAAGAACCUUACCAGGUCUUGACAUCGAUCUAAAGGCUCCAGAGAUGGAGAGAUAGCUAUAGAGAAGACAGGUGGUGCAUGGUUGUCGUCAGCUCGUGUCGUGAGAUGUUGGGUUAAGUCCCGCAACGAGCGCAACCCCUGUUGCCAGUUGCCAGCAUUAAGUUGGGGACUCUGGCGAGACUGCCGGUGACAAGCCGGAGGAAGGCGGGGAUGACGUCAAAUCAUCAUGCCCCUUAUGACCUGGGCUACACACGUGCUACAAUGGACAGAGCAGAGGGAAGCGAAGCCGCGAGGUGGAGCGAAACCCAUAAAACUGUUCUCAGUUCGGACUGCAGUCUGCAACUCGACUGCACGAAGAUGGAAUCGCUAGUAAUCGCGAAUCAGCAUGUCGCGGUGAAUACGUUCUCGGGCCUUGUACACACCGCCCGUC